rnacentral:rRNA from 1 species
CUACGGGAUGCACCAGUGGGGAAUAUUGCACAAUGGGCGAAAGCCUGAUGCAGCAACGCCGCGUGAGGGACGACGGCCUUCGGGUUGUAAACCUCUUUUAGCAGGGAAGAAGCGAAAGUGACGGUACCUGCAGAAAAAGCACCGGCUAACUACGUGCCAGCAGCCGCGGUAAUACGUAGGGUGCAAGCGUUGUCCGGAAUUAUUGGGCGUAAAGAGCUCGUAGGCGGUUUGUCGCGUCUGCUGUGAAAAUCCGAGGCUCAACCUCGGACCUGCAGUGGGUACGGGCAAACUAGAGUGCGGUAGGGGAGAUUGGAAGUCCUGGUGUAGCGGUGGAAUGCGCAGAUAUCAGGAGGAACACCAAUGGCGAAGGCAGAUCUCUGGGCCGUAACUGACGCUGAGGAGCGAAAGCGUGGGGAGCGAACAGGAUUAGAUACCCUAGUAGUC